rnacentral:rRNA from 1 species
GCUGGCGGCGUGCCUAACACAUGCAAGUCGAACGAGUAAACUCCGAGCUUGCUCGGAGGAGUAAAGUGGCGAACGGGUGAGUAUCGCGUGGGUAACCUGCCCCUGAAUCUGGGAUAACUUCGCGAAAGCGUUGCUAAUACCGGAUAUUGUCCUUUUUGCUUAUGCAUUUAGAAUGAAAGGCAACCUCUUCAUGAAAGUUGCCGUUUGGGGACGGGCCCGCGUCCCAUUAGCUUGUUGGUAGGGUAACGGCCUACCAAGGCUACGAUGGGUAGCUGGUCUGAGAGGAUGAUCAGCCACACUGGCACUGAAACACGGGCCAGACUCCUACGGGAGGCAGCAGUGAGGAAUUUUGCGCAAUGGGGGAAACCCUGACGCAGCAACGCCGUGUGAGUGAAGAAGGCUUUCGGGUCGUAAAGCUCUGUCAAGUGGGAAAAAACGCUUUCGGUUAAUAGCCGAAAGAACUGAUGGUACCACUGGAGGAAGCACCGGCUAACUCCGUGCCAGCAGCCGCGGUAAUAC